GUCCCUUUCGUCUAGUGGUUAGGACCCCACUUUUUCACAGUGGAAACGCGAGUUCGAGUCUCGUAAGGGAUA
rnacentral:tRNA from 1 species